rnacentral:rRNA from 1 species
GACGAACGCUGGCGGCGUGCUUAACACAUGCAAGUCGAACGGAAAGGCCCUGCUUUUGUGGGGUGCUCGAGUGGCGAACGGGUGAGUAACACGUGAGUAACCUGCCCUUGACUUUGGGAUAACUUCAGGAAACUGGGGCUAAUACCGGAUAGGAGCUCCUGCUGCAUGGUGGGGGUUGGAAAGUUUCGGUGGUUGGGGAUGGACUCGCGGCUUAUCAGCUUGUUGGUGGGGUAGUGGCUUACCAAGGCUUUGACGGGUAGCCGGCCUGGGAGGGUGACCGGACACAUUGGGACUGAGAUACGGUCCAGACUACUACGGGACGCAGCAGUGGCGAAUAUUGCACAAUGGGCGGACGCCUGAUGCAGCAACGCCGCGUGCGGGAUGACCGCCUUCGGGUUGUAAACCGCUUUCGCCUGUGACGAAGCGUGAGUGACGGUAAUGGGUACAGAAGCACCGGCUAACUACGUG